GAAAACUGCCAAAGGAAGAUCAAAUAGUGUGUGAUAUACUAGAUAUCUUUACCUCUGUUGAGGUAAUGUUAAGCCCUCUGGGUAGGAAAGCUGGGAUUGUUACUUCCUUACUCUCAUAACCAAACAUUCCGUGACAUCACGCAUGCGCAGAACCAUUGAGGUCAGUCACAGAGAAUCAUUGCAUGCAAUGACUCUCAAUUACUACUUCAGAAUCAUAGGCGUACUGUGGCGAGUGAAACACAUGCACCUACGGUCCCCAAUGCUCCUCUAUUAGAUAUGCCUCCA